UACGUAGGGUGCAAGCGUUAAUCGGAAUUACUGGGCGUAAAGCGUGCGCAGGCGGUUUUGUAAGUUUGUCGUGAAAGCCCCGGGCUCAACCUGGGAAUUGCGAUGAAGACUGCAAGGCUUGAAUCUGGCAGAGGGGGGUAGAAUUCCACGUGUAGCAGUGAAAUGCGUAGAGAUGUGGAGGAACACCGAUGGCGAAGGCAGCCCCCUGGGUCAAGACUGACGCUCAUGCACGAAAGCGUGGGGAGCAAACAGG
rnacentral:rRNA from 1 species